CACACUCGCCACACACGCCUGCCGCCUCCUCCCACCGUCACUUCACAUCUCGGGGCUGCGCCGUGCUCUCUGACUCUUCCUCACUCAGCAAAUACGCAGCUUGCUCUCGCCAUGCACCUCGCCUCUCUCAUCCUCCCCCUCUUCCUGGGACAGCUCCUGGGCACAACGGGGCAGAUCACGGUCACCCAGGACGAUGGACAAGUCAUGGUGAAGCAGGGACACCCUUUCCAAACCACCUGCAAAUACCAGACUAGUGGUAGUUAUGCUGCCUUGUUCUGGUACCAGCUGCGGAAAGGCCAAGCCCCACAGCUGCUCUCCUAUCAAGCAGGCUCUGGCCCCAAGCACAGCGGCCGGAUCACCACGCACCUCAACACCACGGGGAAAUACAGUGUCCUGAAGGUGGAGGAAGUGCAGCUCUCUGACACUGCCUUGUACCUCUGUGCUGUGACAGACACCCCGGUGCAGGGAGCGUCCCCGGCUGUGCAACAACCCAGGGGAGGGACGGAGGGAUGGAGGGGAGGUGUCUGUGCAGGGCUGAGGCUGGGCAAGGGACGCUGGGCUCAGCCCAGGGCUCACCUGAUGCUGAAUCGCCACGCCUGUACAAUGCUCUGAUGGUUUUGCACCACGUCCAUCCUAAUAUUAAUUUGAGAAAGUUUUUCUGAUUAUUUUGACUCAUCUCUUCAUUUGUGCGGUCUCGAAGUAAAGAAAAAUGUCCCCCGUGCUUGCCUGGGACCUCGUCGUUGCACACUCCAGCCCUGCUGCUCUUGGCCCCACAUGGCCUCAGCAGAGCCCAGGGCUGGGUGUGUGUUCCUGCCUUGGGUGCUCCUGCAGCAGCCCCGUUUGCAGGGACACACGUGAAGCACAGAUUUGGGUGUGGCUCCAGUGUGGUGAGCAGCGAGCUGUGCCUGUCCGGGUGUGUGUCCCUCAUCGGGAGGGAAUUUCCUGACCGGGCCAGGGACCCUGAGCUCUGCUCUGGCCCUGCUCUGCACAGAGCAGCAGCGUCCCAGGCUCAGAAGGAGCCCGAGUGCAGCUGAGUGGGGCCGGCAGCUGCCCGCUACACACGUGUGCAGGGCAGAGGUGCUGAAAUGCAGCCCCUGCGUGCUGAGCCCUCCCUUUGCUGCCCCUCCAAAGCUCACGCUCGGUUCAUGCCGAUCUCAGGCCCAACAAGGACGCUUUCAGUGCAGCUCGGCCGCUCGGCUGAACUCAGCACGAACAGCACGGCCGGGGCCCCAGCACGGCUCGCAGCCCCCCUGGCCUCGGCCCCAGGCGGGACACAGCCGCUCGCAGCAGCAGCGCUGCACAGGGCAAAAGGAGGAGCUGUGCCUUGUGCGCACGGACAGAGGCUCGGCAAUGCUGCCGCCCGUGUGCUGCCAGCGGCGGAGCGGAUCUGCUUCCCGUGCGCUGGCGCUGGGCUGUGCCAUGGGACACAGCCGCCUCUUGCGCCCGGCCGUGCCCCAAUUGCUGGGUCGCUCCUUGGGCCGGG